UACGGGGGGAGCAAGCGUUGUUCGGAUUUACUGGGCGUAAAGGGCGCGUAGGCGGCCAGCACAAGUCAGUUGUGAAAUCUCCGAGCUUAACUCGGAAAGGUCAACUGAUACUGUGCGGCUAGAGUGCGGAAGGGGCAACUGGAAUUCUUGGUGUAGCGGUGAAAUGCGUAGAUAUCAAGAGGAACACCUGCGGCGAAGGCGGGUUGCUGGGCCGACACUGACGCUGAGGCGCGAAAGCGUGGGGAUCAAACAGG
rnacentral:rRNA from 1 species